GCCUAAAGCGUCCGUAGCCGGCUUUGUAAGUUUUCGGUUAAAUCCAUAUGCUCAACAUAUGGGCUGCCGGGAAUACUGCACAGCUAGGGAGUGGGAGAGGUAGACGGUACUCGGUAGGGAGGGGUAAAAUCCUUUGAUCUAUUGAUGACCACCUGUGGCGAAGGCGGUCUACCAGAACACGUCCGACGGUGAGGGAUGAAAGCUGGGGGAGCAAACCGGAUUAGAUACCCGGGUAGUCCCAGCUGUAAACUAUGCAAACUCGGUGAUGCGUUGGCUUGUAGCUAGCGCAGUGCCGCAGGGAAGCCGUUAAGUUUGCCGCCUGGGAAGUACGUACGCAAGUAUGAAACUUAAAGGAAUUGGCGGGGGAGCACCACAAGGGGUGAAGCCUGCGGUUCAAUUGGAGUCAACGCCAGAAAUCUUACCCGGAGAGACAGCAGAAUGAAGGUCAAGCUGAAGACUUUACCAGACAAGCUGAGAGGUGGUGCAUGGCCGUCGCCAGCUCGUGCCGUGAGGUGUCCUGUUAAGUCAGGUAACGAGCGAGACCCUUGCCUCUAGUUGCCACCAUUACUCUCAGGAGUAGUGGGGCGAAUUAGCGGGACCGCCGCAGUUAAUGUGGAGGAAGGAAAGGGCCACGGCAGGUCAGUAUGCCCCGAA
rnacentral:rRNA from 1 species